ensembl:snoRNA
UGCCUUUGUGUUGCCCUUUCAUUGUGUUCUUCAUGAACAGGGUGUCAACUAAGGCAUACAGUGACUCUUGUGGUCGUGACAGAAAUGUAUCAUCAUUGAGCCAUUUCUACACAGUCGACUGCAAGCACAAAU